UACGUAGGGGGCGAGCGUUUGUCCGGAUUUAUUGGGCGUAAAGAGCGUGUAGGCGGUUCGGUAAGUCUGUCGUGAAAUCCUGAGGCUCAACCUCGGGCGUGCGAUGGAUACUGCCGGGCUAGAGGGUGGUAGAGGCGAGUGGAAUUCCCGGUGUAGCGGUGAAAUGCGCAGAUAUCAGGAGGAACACCAACGGCGAAGGCAGCUCGCUGGGGACGGUACUGACGCUGAGGCGCGAAAGCGUGGGGAGCAAAACGG
rnacentral:rRNA from 1 species